GGCUUUCUUGGCGUCGCUCAUAGCGGUUUCGCCAGACGUUUCUUGAUCCGCAUCAUGGUGAGCGCCGCGCGUGCUGCGUCGCCGCCCUUGUUCAGCUUGUCGGCGCGGGCGCGUUCCCACGCCUGCUCCGAAGUGUUGACGGUAAUGAUGCCGUUGCCGAGCGGCAGGCUGCGUGCAACAGCGAGGUCCAUCAGAGCGCGCGACGAUUCCAUCGACACGAUCUCG
rnacentral:misc_RNA from 1 species